rnacentral:rRNA from 1 species
UACGGGGGGAGCAAGCGUUGUUCGGAUUUACUGGGCGUAAAGGGCGCGUAGGCGGCAUGACAAGUCACUUGUGAAAUCCAAGAGCUUAACUCUUGGCGGUCAAGUGAAACUGUUGAGCUAGAGUGCAGAAGGGGCAACUGGAAUUCUCGGUGUAGCGGUGAAAUGCGUAGAUAUCGAGAGGAACACCUGGGGCGAAGGCGGGUUGCUGGGCUGACACUGACGCUGAGGCGCGAAAGCUAGGGUAGCAAACGGG